CGAUCAAACAUUAUGUCAGAAAUCAAAUUGCAAAUCUCACUGGCCUAUGGAAUUUUACAAAUUAUACAGUUGCUGUUCGGUGUAGGCUUGGUGAGCCCCAUGAGUCAAGUCCCUGGAGUGAAUGGAGCAACAAAGUAAUAGGCAGAACAGAAGAACAAGCCCCUUCGAAAGUAGACUUAUGGAGAGUAAUUGAAACUGUUCAUCCUAAUGAAAGAAGGAUGCGCCUUUUGUGGAAGGUAAAUAAAGAAUUCCCAUCUUCAGGAAUCAUAACUGGCUAUACAGUAAGAUACAUUGCAGAAAACAGCAACAUUACUUUUGAAAAAAAAUACAAUCAGAAAGAGCUUGUCAUUCUCAGCCUGACGGAGGAUGCCUAUAAUAUCAGUUUUACUGCUCAUAACAGUGCUGGAGAGUCUCCUGAAGCUACUAUUAGAGUUCCAUCAUCAAAACAGGAAAAAACAAUGAAACCAAAAAUUCUUCAUCUGAAUGCUUCUGUUGCAAACGAGGAAAUGAAUUUGACAUGGGAUUUAACAGAUUCAGAAAUAGAUGGUUAUCUUAUCGAAUGGUAUGAGUCGGAGGAAAACACAUACAAGCGAUCUUGGCAUAGGAUAAGAAAUACCACAAAAUGGACUUCCCC